rnacentral:ncRNA from 1 species
GAAAAAAAAAGUUUUUCUGUCUUUCUUGAUGACUCGUGUGAACCACCGCGGCCACGAUUGGCAUAAAAGAGAAGACCGUUAGUCUGUUUAUUAAGGAUCGCGGGCCUUUCCGAGUUGGUGGGGAGAGAAAAAGCUUUUACAAGUCGUUAUUUAUUAAAGUUUUCAAGAAUCUUUUGUCUCUUAUUUUACCUCGCUUCUAUAUUAAGCCCUUAAAAAAUACAAAAUAGGAUGCAAAAAAGAUAGGGUAAUGGCCUUUUAAAUCCCUAGAUUUUCAGUGCCACCUAUGUGCGAGUCAACCCCAAACUAACCUUUUAAUACAAAACUAAUAAUGCGACCUAUACCUAUAGGCGAGUAGCGCGGUGCCAGCUUCAUAACCGUGUUAGGCGGGGAGUUGUAUUGGGGAAGUACAUUGGUCACAGAGUAUAGCAGGUGUCCCGAGGUGAGCACAGCGAGUAAGGCAAUCCUUGUUAGAGCACUAAGGGCGAUAGCUCACAUGAUGGUGGUCUUCAGUAUGAAUACAGCCCGCGCAAGGGUGGCCUAUAGCUUCCUGUGGUACUGGUGAGGCUCAAGCAAAAGGUGCCAAAAAAGUCACCCCAGGGAUAAA